rnacentral:misc_RNA from 1 species
UCUCCGUAGGUGAACCUGUGGAGGGAUCAUUACCGAGUGAGGGCCCCUGGCCCGACCUCCAACCCUUUGUUAUCAAAACCACUGUUGCCUCGGGGGUGACCCGGGCCCGUCGGCUCGGGGCCCCCGACGGACAAUUUCAAACACUGCAUCUUUGCGUCGGAUAUCAAUGAAAAUGAAUUAAAACUUUCAACAACGGAUCUCUUGGUUCUGGCAUCGAUGAAGAACGCAGC